rnacentral:sRNA from 15 species
CCUAAUUGCAUUAAGAGCUUAAAGAUGCAACAACAACAGCAGCAGCAACACGAUAGAUAUAAAAAAUCAGAGCAAUUCCCACAGAAUCGGCAAAGGCAUUAGCCGAGGCGCGAGUACACGUAACGUGAUUAACAUGGGACUCCACACACACACACACACACACACACGCACCCAUACAGCGACUAUGAUCUGGGCAUUGGAGAUGAUAGAGCAACUAUCGGGUGGGCUUAGAAUCUAUCGUCAGAAAUGGAGUUAUAUCACUUGUAGGAUACAAUUUCGCUUCCCUCUUUCCUUGCCACCCACUGGAUCUGCCCGAAAGGCGACUUCCCAGUCCCCCUCCCUCGCACCUCAUGCCUAUUUUAUACCCUGCCAGUGGGUUUAUUGGUGCCAACCAAAUGAGAACGAUCUCUCCCUUCAAAGAGGGUAUCGCAAGCUUCGAGCUCUCGCAAGGAUUUUAUUUCUUUCUAGUGGCCGUUUUGUGGGUUUGCCAUUUGUACGUUUUUGGACGAGUGAAAGUGAAAAUUACGAAAAUUAUACACAAAUCGAUGGCACCGCAGCAGCAGUGGCAGCAUCGGGUAGUAUAACGGCACAGAAAAAUGGAUGAAAAUUCAUCAAAGAAAAGAAAAUUGGAUGGCAACGAUCCGAGUGGUGGUGUCCAGAGCAAGACAACAACAAACAAGCUAACAAACAAACAAACAAACAAACAACCAGUGCCAGCUGUUUGACUGCUGCUGCUGCUGCUGCUGCACAUGCCCCCAAACUGUGGCAACUGUUGCAAGUUCAACUCUAACAGAAGUGCACCACAUUCUUUGGACUAUGCUGCUGCUUCUGCCACUUCCUCAAUGUGUGUGUUUGUGUGUGUGUCAAACUAGACAAGUUCUACUUUCCACAACUAGUUCUUGUUGUGGUUUUUCCUUGUGGCAAGCCUCAGAGCGUCUCCCAGGUUCUUGGCACACGUAUAAUUUGCAAGCCAAACCGAACUUCUUGGCUAACUAACGUUGUCCCAAUUUCAGGAAUCCGCUGCCGGUAAUUGGGGACACCUGCAUGUGCCAAAUUCUGGUUUUCCAGUUUUCCCCCCAGCAGGAAAACCCGUUCCAAAUGGAUUCUCAAAGAUUCGGGAAGCAUCAGGCCUCUGUGUGUGUCUGUGUGUGUGUGCCCCAUUUCUGUGGCACCUAAAGCCGUAGAUAAGUAAAGUUCUGGGACUGGGUCACAAGGAUCAACAGAACUGAAGAACCUUUAAACGACUCGCAGUCUUUUGGAGAAUAUUUUAUACAUUUUAUGUACAUAUAUAGGAACCUCUACAGCGAUCCAUUCAGUAGAUGUUUUGAUUGAAAUCCGUGAAUGAAAGCACACACCACACACCCAACCACCACCCACUGUGCCUGGCACUCUUUUGCGCAGUUUUUCCGACUGUUUGCCAGCGGGAGACAGAAACAGAAACAGAAACAGCAACAGCAGCUGUUUGCCCCCAUCCCAUCCUCUCAAGCAAGUGCCAUAUCGGUAAACAGAUUAUUUAGUUUGUUUUUCUGCUGUUUCUGUUUCUGGUGCUGCUUCUGUUUCUGUUUCUGCGGCUUAUCAAUUCGACCCUCGGACAUGAUUUACUUCACUGCCAGUGCUUUUUUAUAUACACAAAAAUUGAGCAAUUAAAUGUUGCAAAAUAUUCGUGCGCUUUCAUUUCCAGUGAAAUCCAAAAGGGGGGAUGGGAAAUAUUUGCAAUGAAUUUCCAAUGACAGGUCCAUGGAUUGCUCUCCGUCGCUCUCCUUUUGUCUCUCUGCGAGACACACAAAGGGAAAAUAUUACACGAAAGGGUCGUUGGGCAUUGACAAUCAUUUAAUUAACUUUCUGUUGCUGCUGCUGUUGUUGUUGCUCGGUUAUAUAACACUUUAUUUACCUCCUACCCUAUGCCGUGUGCACUGCCCCCCCUACGCCUAACAUUCAUGGCACACGGACGCUCGCUCGUCUCUGGGGCACAUUUAAUUGCUGCAAUUGAUGGGUUCAAUUGUGCAAAUUAAUGCGCUGACUCUUGCCACUGCCAGCCGCGGCACGUCGUUGAUCGAUAUGGCCAUUGGAGUAGUUAGAUUGUAGUCCUGGGAUGGAGGCUAUGGUUCUGCCUCCACCUGGAGUUGGGUAUCGUCGAAUGGCAAAGAAGAAACCCCUAGCUUUUACCCAGCUUCUCUGCUGUAAAGCCCCAACGAGGUGUCAUUCAAGUACAACGCUUUUUUGCGCAGCGUAAAAUCUACAUAAACGAAUCACGAUUCCCGCUCCCGGUCCGGUGAUAGCUUAUCAGCCUUUCCCAUCGGGGGAGGAGAAGCAAUCUCAUUCCACAUGAGAGGAAAGGAGAGGAGGAGGAUGCGGAGGAGGAGGAGGAGCAGGGAGGAAGCACACACUUAAUAGAUACAAAUUGAAUUUAAUGAAAUGCAUCUCCGAGUUGCAGGAAAACUUUUGCAAAACAAAAAAUCGCAGAAACAAAGAGAAAUAACUGGGGAAGGAGGGAAAAUGCAAGCAGAGAGAGAGAAA